GACCCCAAAAGAUGUUCUCGACAGAGACUUUCACGGAUCACUUUACGGAUUGCGUCAAAACAAUAUAGAAAGAACUAACCACUUCACUUUUGUGUUUGUAACAAACAAAAAUAACCCAUCUAUAUUGUUAUAGUAACCAAAAAAGAAACACUUACAGACAAUAACAACCAGUGACCAAGUUUCGGGUUUGGACUAGCGCACAAAUAUAUAAAUUUAGAGGGGUAAUUAACAAGAAAAUACUAAUCCCGCCUGAUUUCAACUCAUAAAUGUUUGCAUCUAAUCUCAGGGUAAUUUCAUCCAUAGUGAAAUGUUCUAAGGCAGACUUGGUGCCUAAACUAAUAACAGACUUUCAA
rnacentral:lncRNA from 1 species